AUGCGGGAUCUGUACGGGGAAAACACAGCCUCUCAUCGGAACACUUCUGCACACCCUUCUCAGCAACCCCCAACCCCUGCCCCCCACUCCCCACCAGAGCAACCAACAUCCUGAUGUCCCCCAUCAGAGGGCUGAGUGUGAGUUCGAGCUUCUCCUGCAUCAUGACCAGGAGGCUCUGGGACACGUUGUCCACGUCUGUGUCCACCAGGCCUGCUCAGAAUCUCCCCAGGGGCUUUUCCACGAUGAACAUCCAGGCGUCACCCUCACUCCAGGCCAGGCCUCCAGGAGGAGACGCCAUGCCCUGAGGAUUGAGUCUCUUCUUCAUCCCUCCCAGCACCAAGGGUGUUGGGUGCACACACAGGCAUCAGGCCCCAGGCUGGAGGCCACGUGCCAGGCUGGCAGGAUUUGUCCACUGUGAAGCUCGACACCCCUCAGGUCCUGUGCUGCCCGCCCAGAUCUUCCCUGCCUCAGGAUGCCCUCCGCACCCUCCGAAUUCCCAGCCGCUGCUCUGGGGCCCGCACGGAGGACUUGGGCCCAGCACCUCGAACUCCGAAGAGAACGCAUGUAUUCACCCCUCGGUUUUGUCAGAUCGCUUCCGAGGUUGCCCUCUUCGCUGUGGCUGCCGAGUGCAGAGCGGGGCAUUCGAGUGGACAGAGCGGUGCUCAGCUUCCCUGCAUCUCCUGGGCCAUGUGUGCUGAGCUGUGCCCACUGCAUUGCUCCUGUGUGCCCUGCACAUAUGACUGUGUCUUUCCCGUGUAUUCAGUGCUGCUUCAUGCCUUCCAGUUCCGCUUUGUGGUUUGUGACUGA